GGUCGAACAGACCUAGUUCUGUUAGCUCCUACACCAACAACCAAUUUUAAUCCAACAUCGAGGUCGCAAUCUAUUCUUUCGAUAAGAACUCUAAAAAUAAUUACGCUGUUAUCCCUAARGUAAUUUCUUCUUUUAAUCUAAACAAAGGAUCACUCACCUAUAAACUAAUAAAUAAUAUUUAAAAAAGUUUCCCUAAUUUUACUAUCACCCCAACCAAAUAAACAAAAAUAACCUAGAACAAAGAUACCAAAACACUAUAAUAUUAUUUACCUAUAAAACUCUAUAGGGUCUUCUCGUCUUCCAUAAAUAUUUAAGCUUUUUCACUCAAAAAUAAAAUUCUAACAAACUUUUCUAGAGACAGCAAUUUUCUCAUAAAACCUUUCAUUCAAGCUUUCAAUUAAAAAACUAGUUAUUAUGCUACCUUUGCACAGUCAAUAUACUGCGGCCAUUUAAUAAAAUCAGUGGGCAGGUAAGACUUGAAAUAAAAAUCAACAAGCCAUGUUUU
rnacentral:rRNA from 1 species